GAUCAUGGCUCAGGAUGAACGCUGGCGGUGUGCCUAAUACAUGCAAGUCGAUCGGGCGUAGCAAUACGUCAGAGGCGUACGGGUGAGUAACACGUAGGUAACCUACCUUUAAGACUGGGAUACCCAGACGAAAGUUUGGCUAAUACCGGAUAACAACAUUUGAGACAUCUCUUUUGUUUGAAAGGCGCUGCAAGGCGCCACUUUUAGAUGGACCUGCGUCGCAUUAGCUAGUUGGUGAGAUAAAAGCCCACCAAGGCUGGGAUGCGUAGCCGAUCUGAGAGGAUGACCGGCCACAAUGGGACUGAGACACGGCCCAUACUCCUACGGGAGGCAGCAGUAGGGAGUUUUCGGCAAUGGGGGAAACCCUGACCGAGCAACACCGCGUGAGUGAUGAAGGUCUUCGGAUCGUAAAGCUCUGUUACGAGGGACGAAUGAUCGCUUUAGGAAAUGAGAGCGGUUUGACGGUACCUCGCCAGAAAGCGACGGCUAACUACGUGCCAGCCGCUGC
rnacentral:rRNA from 1 species